CCAAACAUUUGUUUUCUCUCCAUAUAUUUUCACAAUGAAAACAACCCAAAUAAUCUGUCUCUCUACUCUUGUAGCUAUUUUACUGUACUCUCAAAUUCUCUCAACCUCUGCACUUCGCAUACCAAAUCUAAACCAUGAAGAUGUAGCCAUGCAAAACCACUCUCAGGAGAUGGAUGAUGAUGUUAGAAGGGAAUCUAAUGAAGAAUUGGAUUUGGCGACAAUUGCUGAUUAUCCCCCUGUUGGGCCCAAUCCGCGUCACGAUCCUCCUCCACCACAUCGUUCUUAAAUGAAAAUGCCUAAUUUCAUGUGGAAUUUAGAAUGGAUGUAGUCGUGAUUUUUGUAAUAAAAUUUGAUGCCAUUCUAUUAUUAUAAAUUUCUAAGUGCUUUUAA